AGAACGAACGCUGGCGGCAGGCUUAACACAUGCAAGUCGAACGCUCGUAGCGAUACGAGAGUGGCAGACGGGUGAGUAACACGUGGGAACGUUCCCCUCGGUUCGGAAUAACUCAGGGAAACUUGAGCUAAUACCGGAUACGUCCGCGAGGAGAAAGAUUCAUCGCCGAGGGAUCGGCCCGCGUCUGAUUAGCUAGUUGGUGAGGUAACGGCUCACCAAGGCGACGAUCAGUAGCUGGUCUGAGAGGAUGACCAGCCACACUGGGACUGAGACACGGCCCAGACUCCUACGGGAGGCAGCAGUGGGGAAUCUUGGACAAUGGGCGCAAGCCUGAUCCAGCCAUGCCGCGUGAGUGAUGAAGGCCCUAGGGUUGUAAAGCUCUUUCGGCGGGGACGAUAAUGACGGUACCCGCAGAAGAAGCCCGGCUAACUUCGUGCCAGCAGCCGC
rnacentral:rRNA from 1 species